rnacentral:rRNA from 1 species
GACGAACGCUGGCGGCGUGCUUAACACAUGCAAGUCGAACGAAGAGCGACGGAAGCUUGCUUCUAUCAAUCUUAGUGGCGCACGGGUGAGUAACGCGUAAUCAACCUGCCCUUCAGAGGGGGACAACAGUUGGAAACGACUGCUAAUACCGCAUCCGAUCUAACCUCGGCAUCGAGGAUAGAUGAAAGGUGGCCUCUACAUGUAAGCUAUCACUGAAGGAGGGGAUUGAGUCUGAGUAGCUAGGUGGAGGGGGAACGGGCCACCAAGGCGAUGGUAAGUAGCCGGUCUGAGAGGAUGAACGGCCACAUUGGGACUGGGACACGGCCCAGACUCCUACGGGAGGCAGCAGUGGGGAAUCUUCCGCAAUGGACGAAAGUCUGACGGAGCAACGCCGCGUGAGGGAUGACGGCCUUCGGGUUGUAAAGCUCUGUUAAUCGGGACGAAAGGCCUUCUUGCGAAUAGUGAGAAGGAUUGACGGUACCGGAAGAGAAAGCCACGGCUAACUACGUG